CGAGCGGGUGGCGGCAACCACCCCGCGCGAACCGUUUUUUCGGCUAGAUUGGCUCCUGCUUACCCCGCGAAACCCUCACUUCCCCCCCAUUGCUCGCCUCUCUCUUCCGUGCGCGGCGGCGGCGCAUCUAGCAAAUACUAGCAAAGAGGCAGGCCGGAGGAAAGUUGAAGGCCACCGUCAGUGCAUCUAGCAGCAGCAGCACAACUACAAUAUGAGAUGGACAGAAAGACAAAGAUGUUAAUUUAUGCGGCUGCGGCACAAUGGUUUAUCAACAUGAUAACAUUGGUUGUUCAAUCCAGAAAAAGAAAAAGGAGAGAAGCAAUUAUGUAUGCCCCAAUUGAUGAGAGAGAUAGGAUGAGAAGAGAGUAUUUUGACAACAAAAUAUGGAAGAAUGACACAACUUGUGUGAACAUGCUUAGGCUUCGGAGAGGGAGCUGUUCAACCUUAGGCAUUCUUCUCUUCGUGUGACUGUAGAACGUGCAUUUGGGUCAUUGAAGAGAAGAUUUAAGAUACUUGAUGAUGCCACCCCAUUCUUUCUCUUUCCAACACAAGUUGACAUUGUUGUGGCUUGUUGCAUUAUUCACAAUUGGGUUAUAAAUGAUGGGAUAGAUGAAUAUAUCAUACCCGAGGAUGAAUGGGUGCCAAAUAUUACUCAUGCUUCAUCAUCAAGUGGUCAAGCACAUGAACAUGCAUACAUGGUUAAUUUUAGGAAAGGACUUGCUGAUCAAAUGUGGGAAGAUCGACAAAACCAUUUGCAAGGUCAAAAUAUGUAGUGACUACUAUGUCAUUUAGCUCGUUGUGAUUGUACUUUGUGUUGAACUAUUUUGUAUGCUGAAACUUAUUUGUAAGGACAUAUUAUUUUCUAAGAUUGUAUUUGUAAUGACUAUUUAAGUUGCCGAAA